rfam:Schistosoma haematobium scaffold1279_3, whole genome shotgun sequence.
AUCUAGCUGUCGAAUCCCAAAUAAGAUGAAACGCGCGUCCUGGAU